CAAGGGCGCUGUAGGGGCUCUGAACGAAUUAAAAGCUGCAAUGUCGUUUCUGAUCAAAGACUGGAAAGUGGGGGAAAUCAGAGAUUCAUUAGGCUCCCAAGUCGAUGGAUUUUUAAAGGGGACCACAGUCCGGUUCUGGUUGAAAUUAAAAUGAUCUAAAAUCUUCAAUCUCCUAUGAUACAGGUCUUUGCGAAGUAAUGUUUUAUCAAAAACAGUCAGCGUAGGGAUAAAAUUAAGGCCUCUCUCCAAUAGUGCUAGUUCAGCAGAGCUAAGUGCAAAGGAAGAACAGAGCACCAUCACAUUACUAGAGGGGGGAUGGGAAAGAUUCCUGUCCCCGCUCAUAAGUUUAAUUGAUCCAGCCAAUGUUCGAGAAUUGAUUUAGCAGUUUUCGCCGUCCAAUGAACUGGGUCUGUGGGCUCUGUUCUAAAUCAGAGUUUAGAUAGCUCGUUUAAGAAAGUGAAACAAAGAUUUGCCCUGGGUUGGGGGUGGGGGGUUAGGGUUAGGUAGAGGGUAAUUGAUUCUAAAAUUGCCACUGAUGUGGGUCCAGUGCACUGGCGCAGAGGUCUGCCCAAAAUUGCAUAAAUUCACGCUGCCCAAUAUUACACAAGGAUUCAUGUGAUUAUAUAUGUUUUAACAACCUUGUAUUUGUGUGGCCUAUAGGGCAUUGGAGAGAGAGGGGAAGAAGCACACGAGAGAUGAGGGGAGAGGAGGAGAGCGACAGAUGAGGGGGAGGAGAGGAGGAGAAAGAAGAGAGAAGAGGAAGAAAGAGGGCACAGGAAGUCAGUGGAAGACCCAAAUCUGUCCCCAAACUUUAUGGAGAUGUAAAUAAGUUCCCAAAGGGUCAUGAGCCACAGCCUGCCGGUGGCUUAUAAGGCCCUUGAGGAACAGGGUUGAGAGGCCCAAAGUUCUAAAAAGGAGUAAGGGGGCCCUCUACUGGGGAAAGUUGAGAGGUGCCUCCAAAAUCCACCACCCAUAUGUAAAGGAAGACAAUGUGUGGUACGCCGGCAGCUGUGCGAGGGAAGGAGAGAGAGGAGAGAGGCAACACACAAUUGUAUACAGGGGAGAUUGAGACCAGAGGGAGCCUCCGUUCUCAGUCUGCGGAUCCAGAGUCAUUUCUCCUUCGCUGGCCGACCGUCCACGACGCGCAUGUCUGCAGGCCUGUGAUAGAGAGGUGUUGGGGAGAGUGCACCUGGAAGUGUUUAACUAGGGGGGUGUUGAGUUUAUUCUGGUUAAUAUUGUAUAUAUGUUGUUUGAGUCGUGCCAAUAGGGUGUUCCCGGUUUCGCCUAUAUAGAUGAGAUUGCAGGUUUGGCACACAAUGCAAUAAAUGACGUUUUUACUCUCUGGGGUGAUUCUUGUGCUUAUUGGGGCUCCUGCUCCCCCGUGUGGAUUACACAGGAAUUUUCUACUCUUGAAUGCCCAGUGUUUGAUUGGCUCUACUGUCAACACCUGUCUACUAAAUUGUGUCUUAAUUAGUGCAUUGUGUAAAUUCUUGUUUUUUCUGUAGGCUGAGAUUAUUCGGUACUCUCCGAGGCGUUGGUGGCUGUGGAGGUAAGUAUGGAACCUAUUUUUCAUUUCUACCUGUAGCUGUAGAUAUUGUUUGGCGCAAGUAGUGAUUACCGGUAUACAUAAUUCUCCCUCUGUGCGCGUGUUGACCUCAUGACCCCGCUGGUCAGACAUUACCGUGGAGCGGUGACCGGUGGUUUCAGUGGGCGUGAGGGCGGCAAGUGUGGAGCUUUUGACAUAGCGGAGGAAGCUCCUAGAGUACCCCCUGUGUCAGAGGCCGCUAAAAAGGAUGGAGAUGGAGUUAUGCAAGUCGCUUGGACGGGAUGAGAUGCGGUGAAAACGAAUUAUUUGCAAUUUAACGAUGCCUUUGAAUGUGUGUUUAGGGUGAUAACUUUCUUUGUGUAGGAGCGCAUGUGUGUCGGUCGGUUUGAAAUAAACGCGGGUGAGUGUUGUUUCAAUCACUGAAAAGAUUUGUUCGUUCGAACGACACGUUCGCAACCGACACAACACUAGUGCAGGGCGAUCACUGGAGGCAGAGGAACACAGUGGCUAGCUAGCUAGUAUUGUUUAGGGUUGUUUGGCUAUCGUUAUUGUACACAAAAUGCCUAAAGAAGGUGAGAAUUUAUCGCAGUACGUACAGACACUCACUGUAUGGGAUCGGGAGUGUUAUUUUAAAAAAAUGACGUUAUCAGAUGGGACCAUCUUGAUCGACCCUUACGCGCUCACUCAAUGGAAGGACGACAUGACAGCUUUACCCUCUGUUGAAUGGCCAGAGAUUUACACACUUUUCAUAGAGAAACCAAGCAUCUACAGUAAAGAAAAACUUAGUGCGUAUAAAUCGCUGGAUGCCUACAACUAUGUCCUGAAUGGUCAUGUCCAAGACUUGCAAUACAAAGAUGUAUCAGAUGAGUUUUGUGUCGUGCGAGCCAAAGUUUUACCAUAUCUUGAGUCGAACAAAGAACUACGUCUUCAUUGCAAACUGCACUUGCAUGGCUGGUUCUGGCACCCGACAGCACAACAAGAUGACACCAUGGUAGCAGAGAUGGCAAAGUCCUGAGGCCCAUUGCACAAAAGUAGGAUUAAGACAUCCAGGAUAAGUGACUGAGCUGAGCUUAAUGAAUCCGAAACAAGAGCGUCCAGGCUUAAUUGGUUGCACAAAGAUUGAGCAAGGAUGAGCAGACACGGAUUCAUCAAGCCAGGUGAAACUAAUCCUGGAUAAGUGUGCACUCAUGGCUCCCUCAAAUAGACCCCACCACCGAUCACAGAUUCAUUGAUUCAACAUGGCAAGUAGUGUCCUCCAGUGGUAGAGACUCAUGCUGAGAAUUUCAGUUAAAUAUGUCUUGUAGUGGCAGUGGAAUUUGUGUCUGUUUUAAUUCAAUUUAAAUUGAUUUGGCCUCUUAUGAUGGUUGUGCUGUGUACUGCGUGUAUACAAGCUUGCAGGGAGGCUACUGCAUCCAUUCAUUUGUCUGUUCAUUUGAUGUGUAUGGAUUUGUCCUGCAUUUAUUUCAGUGUGCAGACAUGUGGGGUGUGUUAUAUACAGACCUUUGAAUGUGUAUUUAUCAUUGUGUUGUAUAAUAUGCUUUGAUUCUGUGCUUUCCAUCUUGUAGAGUCACUGUGUGACUUAAGUUUUGCAAGGAGCUGAUGGUUUACCUGUUUAUCCUUAUUCAAUAAAGGAACAUAAUGUUACAUUUUGAUGUGUAUUUAUAUUUAUAUGGGAUGUGUGUUUUAUACGACGGAAUAUUAGGGCCACACUGAGGAAGAAGGAAAAAGUCAGAUUUAUGAGACUGGUUCUUUCUGCAGAAAAGAUGCAUUUUCUUGCAUAUUCUUUUUAAAGUCCUGAUACUUAUGACAAUGUGAUGCUGAUGUGCCAAAAGAUUAAGUAUCUCCUUGUUUGUGAAACCUAUACUGAUUCCACAAAAUGCUCCACAGCCCUCAUUUUAACAACUCUCCUCCUCGAAAAAAACA